GGCAUCAAACACCACCAUGUGAAAGAAAAUGGGAUGAGCAGGAUAAUAUUCCUCAAAAUAAUAUAGCGACCGUGGGUAGGCCACUCAGUGGGCCUCCACCCGCGGACAGGCCUCUGAAAAUAGUCCAUCCACGGAUAGGCCUCUGAAAAUAGUCCACCCGCGGACAGACCACCCUCAGUAGGUCUCCACCGGCGGAUAGGUCACGCUCAGUAGGCUUCCACCCGCGGAUAGGCCUCUGAAAAUUGUCCACCCGCAGAUAGGCUACCCUCAUUAGGCCUCCACCCGCGGACAGGCCUCUGAAAAUAGUUCACCCGCGGAUAGGCCACUCUCAGUAGGCCUCCACCCGCGGAUAGGCCUCUGAAAAUAGUCCACCCGCGGAUAGGCCACUCUCAGUAGGCCUCCACCCGCGGACAUGCCUCUGAAAAUAGUCCACCCGCGGAUAGGCCACCCUCAGUAGGCCUCCACCCGCGGACAGGCCUCUGAAAAUAGUCCACCCGCGGAUAGGCCACCCUCAGUAGGCCUCCACCCGCGGAUAGGCCACGUUCAGUAGGCCUCCACCCGCGGAUAAGCCUCUGAAAAUAGUCCACCCGCCGAUAGGCCACCCUCAUUAGACCUCCACCCGCGGAUAGGCCUCUGAAAAUUGUCCACCCGCGGAUAGGCCACUCAGUUAGCCUCCAUCUGUGGAUAGGCCUCUGAAAAUAGUACAACCGCUGACAGUCCAUUCAGGAUAGGCCUCCACCCGCAGACAGGCCAAGCAAAAUAAUUUUAAUAGGCUUUUAUUCGAGGAUAGGCAAGUCAAAAUAGGCUUUCACCCAUGCCUGUAAAUAGUUCACUCGUGGAUAGGCCACUUCAAGUAGGCCUCUGAAAAUAGUACAGCUGUGGAUAGGGAUUUCAAAAUAGUCCACCCUCAGACAGGCCACUCCAAAUAGUCCUCUACCCGCGGAUAGGCCUCUCAAAAUAGUCUAGCUUUUGACCAUUGAAUAGGCAAGUCAAAACAGGCUUUCUUCUACCCUCUCCACCCCUGCCCUCAUUCAUAUUCCACCCGUGACUGGCCACUCCAAGUAGGCCUCCACCCGCGGAUCGGCCUCUUAAGAAUAGUUUGAAUAGGCUUUCACCAGUGCAUAGAUCAAAUGAAGUAGGCCUCCACCCGCGGAUAGGCCUCUCAAAAUAUUCUAAAUAGCUUUUGACCCUUGAAUAGGCUAGCCAAAAUAGGGUUUCUUCCACCCUCUCCACCCACGCCCCAUUAAAUAGUCCACCCGCGGACUGGCCACUCCAAGUAGGCCUCCAUCGCAAAUCAAACAGAUUCUUCAAAUAGUCAGAAUAGGCUUCCACCGAAGUAGGCCUCCACCUGCAGAAUAGGCUUCUGAAAAUUGUUCACGCAUGGAUAGGCUACUCUAGAUAGGCCACUCUCAGUAGGCCUCCACCCAGAGAAUAGGCCUCCAUAAAUAGUCAAGCUGCAGAUAGGCCACUCUCAUUAGGACUCCACUCGCGGAAUAGGCCUUUAAAAAUAGUACACCCAUGGAUAGGUCACUCUCAGUAGGCCUCCACCCGCGGAAUAGGCCUCUAAAAAUAGUCCACCUGUGGAUAUGCCACUCUCAGUAAGCCUCCACCCGCGGAAUAGGCCUCAAAAAAUAAUCCACCCGCAGAUAGGCCACUGUCAGUAGGCCUCCACCCGCGGAAUAGGCCUCAAAAAAUAGUCCACCCGCGGAUAGGCCAUUGUCAGUAGGCCUCCACCCGCGGAAUUGGCCUCAAAAUAGUCCAACCGCGGAUAGGCCAUUGUCAGUAGGCCUCCACCCGCGGAAUAGGCCUAAAAAAUAGUCCACCCGCGGAUAGGCCACUGUCAGUAGGCCUCCACCCGCGGAAUAGGCCUAAAAAAAUAGUCCAUCCGCGGAUAGGCCACUGUCAGUAGGCCUCCACCCGCGGAAUAGGCCUCAAAAAAUUGUCCACCUGCCGAUAGGCCACUGUCAGUAGGUCUCCACCCGCGGAAUAGGCCUCAAAAAAUAGUCCACCCGCGGAUAGGCCACUGUCAGUAGGCUUCCACCCGCGGAAUAAGCCUCAAAAAAUAGUCCACCCGCGGAUAGGCCACUGUCAGUAGGCCUCCACCCGCGGAAUAGGCCUCAAAAAAUAGUCCACCCGCGGAUAGGCCACUGUCAGUAGGCCUCCACCCGCGGAAUAGGCCUCAAAAAAAUAGUCCACCCGCGGAUAGGCCACUGUCAGUAGGCCUCCACCCGCGGAAUAGGCCUCAAAAAAUAGUCCACCCGCGGAUAGGCCACUGUCAGUAGGCCUCCACCCGCGGAAUAGGCCUCAAAAAAUAGUCCACCCGCGGAUAGGCCACUGUCAGUAGGCCUCCACCCGCGGAAUAGGCCUCAAAAAUAGUCCACCCGCGGAUAGGCCACUGUCAGUAGGCCUCCACCCGCGGAAUAGGCCUCAAAAAUAGUCCACCCGCGGACAGGCCACUGUCAGUAGGCCUCCACCCGCGGAAUAGGCCUCAAAAAAUAGU